ACGAACGCUGGCGGCGUGCCUAAUACAUGCAAGUAGCACGCUGAAGGAGGAGCUUGCUUCUCUGGAUGAGUUGCGAACGGGUGAGUAACGCGUAGGUAACCUGCCUGGUAGCGGGGGAUAACUAUUGGAAACGAUAGCUAAUACCGCAUAAUAGUAGAUGUUGCAUGACAUUUGCUUAAAAGGUGCAAUUGCAUCACUACCAGAUGGACCUGCGUUGUAUUAGCUAGUUGGUGGGGUAACGGCUCACCAAGGCGACGAUACAUAGCCGACCUGAGAGGGUGAUCGGCCACACUGGGACUGAGACACGGCCCAGACUCCUACGGGAGGCAGCAGUAGGGAAUCUUCGGCAAUGGACGGAAGUCUGACCGAGCAACGCCGCGUGAGUGAAGAAGGUUUUCGGAUCGUAAAGCUCUGUUGUAAGAGAAGAACGAGUGUGAGAGUGGAAAGUUCACACUGUGACGGUAUCUUACCAGAAAGGGACGGCUAACUACGUG
rnacentral:rRNA from 1 species